rnacentral:lncRNA from 1 species
GUUGUUGAAAAUGCAGAAAACUCUAUUGAAAAUAUGAAUAACAGUAAAAAUAUAGUCAGGCUCAGUCAGACCCAUCUUAGCAAGCCUCAUAGGCCUCCUGGCAAAGCAAUGCAUUGGACCCCCAUAUACUUUAAUUGACAGAUUAAGCACUGGGGCUUCCUGCCAACAACUAACUGCCCAGUGCACCUUUGUUUUAGAACAGCACUGGAUUAAUAAGAAGGAAUUUGCUGGUCAUAGUUAAUACAGAUCGAAUAAGCUGGAAUAGAAUCGUGAUAUACUUAUAGAAAAAAAAUCAUAUCGUCUUAGAAAAAGAAUAAGUAUCGCAUACUAAAGUAGUGAUAUGAUUCGUUUGGUGUUAGAGACUUCUCUCCAAUACUAACUAUGAUGCUAACCAUGACUUUUGGUUGAAGUUUAGCUAGGGUUAGAAACAGGUCCUAGCAGCAAACAGAUGGAAAUGUGAUAUGAGAGGGUUUCUACAAGAAAGGAACUAAUUUAACUAAAUUGAAAUGACGAAGCGGAUCAAAUGUUUAAUUAAUCGGCAGAAUUAUGUUUCAGGACUGAAUUUAGAGAUUAAAAUUGUUUAUGUGGAUGGUGAUAAUUUCUCGAAAAAAUUUGAUUAUAUUAAAAGAUUCUUGUCCUUUUAUCUUUUGUUUCAGUCAUUGGACCGCGGCCAUGCUGGGACACUGACUGGAAGGGUUUGAUCGAACAAAUCGACCCUAGUACUUAUUUUUCUUAAGUCUGGAAAUUAUUCUAUAAGUAUUUUUUGUUGAACCGCUAGGUUACGGGGACGUCGCCUACCAUCGCUGGUUGUCAAGCGGUGGUGGGAGAUAAACACAAGCACACACAAAUUUAUAUAUGAUGAGCUAUCAGUUUUCGUCGACCAAUCCACUCACAAAACCUUUGUCGGUCCGGGGCUAUAGUAGGAGACACUUGUCCAAGGUGCUGCGCAGUGCGACUGAACCUGAAACUAUAUGGUUACAAAGCGAGCUUUUUAACCAUACCGCCAUACCUGCAUCCCGCCAAAAAUGUUUUUCGUAAAAUGUCAACAAUCUUUUGUUUGCAGUUAUAUGUAGAGGAAGCUUCGAUAAAAGCGUAAAAGAACGACCUUUUGAUAUAAGCAACUACUGCCGACUCAAACCAGUUUCUGAAGAAGAAAAAUAAAUUGAACCAAUUCCCAGUUGUACGUAGCUUGGUCGCAUUCCCAGAAGAGAUGUCCCCUAUUUUCGACAUUUAGAUCAAUGAGGCAUAUAGAAUUAAAUGAGUGAUUUAAAGCCUUCUAUAACAUUGAACUAGCUACAUGUUCGAUCAUUUUAUCCAGAUUUUGCACACCAACAUAGUAAUGUUGCUUUGUUUAGCAAUAUGAUGUUGGAAUAAGAAUAAUUCCGUAUUUGUAGGAAACAAUACCAUGAGUCUCUAAUGAGACUUCCAAACAUUCCUUGAAGUUUGAGAUUUCCUAAUGACUAUCAUUGGUAGUGCAUUCUACUAUAUUUUAGAAGUAUAUCGAUUUCAGCAUUUUCUCCCAUGUUGAUGAAGAUCGAAGCAGUUUCUGGAAAUAGGUCGGUAAAAGUUAGUCAAGAACACUCUAGCUGAAAUGCACGUACACUGAUGUAUCUAAGGCUGACGCAAGUAGUUGUCUUCAUAAUCGUACAAGAUGUGUGUGUGUGUGGCGGGGCGCAAGGCCAGUUUGUUAGAAUACUGAGAGAUAUAAAGAAAAUUUCAACGGUCUUUUCUUAUAAAGUUGACUGGAACCAUAAACUUAUUAUGGAUAAAAUCCUGUUUCUUGUAAACUAAGGUCUGAAAAGCUGUUCGUUAUUCAUGGCUAAUGAUUUCAAUAAAUAAAAUCAUAUUAAGUGGAGAGAUGACAAUUAGAACAUAUUUUGCGGUUGUUAACAGUAGGGUUGAAGUAAAAUGGUAGCCAAUCUAUUCAUUUGUUGAUAUUGAUAAUCAGAAGAUAUAUUGUAAGGGUUUCGUAGCGAAGACAAGACAGAAUAACAGCGUGUGUUGAAGCGGAUCCUAUUAAGGUAAUGUAUUAAAAGAAUCCGAGUGGCAUUAUACUAGUAUUGAAAUGAUAAUGGCACAAGUCUAAAUGAAUCUCGUGAUCGACCGUAACUGAGCAAAGUUGAGAGCGCUAAUAGUAAGCGGCAAGAUUAAAGAAUCGCCAUGGCAGUUUGCAACUAUGUCCUGUUUUGCUUUAUUCUUCGAUUUAUCUUGGAGGGAAAAUGUUAUGUACGAAACGGCUCUGAUUAAAAAUUUCUCUUGAAGGAAACCAGUAGUGGCUGACAACUGGAGGUUUUCACAGCCAUCAUAAAACACAAUUUCCAUACGGUAGGAUCUCAAACUUUCCUUUCUUGUUCUUUUACUUUUUCCAGUCAUUGGACUGCGGCCAAUGCUGGAGCACCGACCUAAAGGGUUCAGUCAAUCAAAUAAACUCCACUGCUUAUUUGUAAAUCUAGUCCAAUUCUAUUGGACUAUUUUUGCCGAACCUCUCAGCUGCGGUAACGUGAAGUCACGAACACCGGUUAUCAAAAGGUGUGAGAAAGCAAAAGUACGCGCGUGCGCACACACUCGUUCACACACAUACCAAUCCACUGAAACGGCACUGAUUGGUUCAAGAAUGUAGUAGAAGACAUUUGCGCCUAAGAUGAAAUUUUUGCUUUUGUACUUUCUUAAAGAAGCUAACGUUCGAAAGAUAAACAAGGAUGACGAACACACAAGGUUAUUGAACUAUACUUAAUUUCAUCAUGAAAUGAGACAUUGAAAUAAUUUCACUGAACUCUUGAAUGCUUGUAACAUUGCUAAUAUAUAGCAUUUUUAGGUCGUUAUUAACAAAAAUCUUUAAAAAAAAAAAAAGAUCAAAAUUAGGUUGGAAUGGGCCUUUUUAAUCCUGCCUGUGAAAAAAUACUAAAUUGUCAAAUGUUGCUUAGUCUAGACUGGCACAAUUUUCAAGGAUUAUUAUUAUUAUCAUUUGAUUUAUCCACUCCAGUACUUGCAAGAUAACUUAUUUUUAUCAAUUUAGAAAGAACGACAAGCAAUAACGAUCCGGGCAAGAUUUGAACUCGGAAAAUGAAACAACAUAACCAAAUGGAAGACGAUAAUUUUGUCUAAGGCUCUUCUGAUUCUACCAUCUGCUCUUCGAUCGAGAGUUUUAUGGAAGAAACUACAAAAUUUCGCCGCAGAAUUUAGAGUGCCCCCCCCCCGCCGCCGCAUUCUCUGUGUCUCGUGUUAUAAAAAUAGAGUUUCUGUUUCUCAAACGAAUCUUACAAUAAAUGACAUUUAAUACAUUGUUCUGAGAACGUUUUUCGCCCGAAUCCUUUAUUUAUAUAUAUAUAUAUAAUUCUUCCUUUGCACUUCAAUAAGCGUCAUAUAUUUAGGGUUUUGACACGUUAAUUGUGAAAAAUAAUAGGGACAUUAAAUAUUAGGCUGUCAAAUAAAUUCCUUUUUCUUUCUUUUACUUGCCACUCCAUCGUCAUUUGUCUGAAAAGAAGUAAAAUUUAUUCAAAUUUCAAAAGUGGUAUACAAAAGUUGUAGAGGAAGAAUAGAGGCAUAAAACACUACGGUAAAAAUAUUUUUCGUGUUCAGAUAACUUUGGAAAGAAUUAAAAUGAAUGGAGGAAAAUGAACGAAUUUAACUGACCACCUUAUGUGUGUGUGUGUUUUCUGCACCUCAAUAUUUAAGAUUUUGGUGCCCUAGCUGUAAAAGAUAUAGGAAAAUAUAGAAAACAAGGCUGCAUAAUAGCGGAUAGAAUUUGUAACAGUUGCUGUUUUUUGUCUUUUUUUUGUUGUUGUUUUUGCUCAAUUUUCAGAAUUAGGUUAGUAAAAUUGUAUUCAGUAGUUAAAUAUGAAUUCUUGACAUCAUGAUGUAGAGAUGAAUUAGGGCUGUUUGCAGAUCUAGCAAAAUCUGCCUUAUUAUAUAUUGCCUAACAUUGUAAAUUUUGUGAAAUCUGGCAACCUGUUUAUUAUUAUUAUAACACGAGGAUGAGUGGAAAUAUUACCGGAAGUGAAAUCUUUCCGUAGAAAGUAAUUCCACAGUUCCUCUAUGUUUGCUUCGAUUACAAGACAGGCUUGUUAUUAAAUUUAUUCAAUUGUCUGUAAGUUAUGUGUUUUAAGUAGCCUACGAUCGUGCCUCUAUGUUGUUAGUCGAGAUAACAACCAAAUUCUAAUAAAUUACAACCUACUGGUUUUUUCUAAAAACGGAAGGACACAUUACAGAAUGUAUUCGCAUGUGAAAAGACGAGAUCGUCAUAAUUGAAAUACCUUUGAUCAUAGAUGUAAAUCGUGACUAGACAACAAAUACGUACAGGUACAAAGUCAAUUUUCCGGACACUGAUAGUCCGUAAAAUUUUAUAAUCCCAACUAAUGUACAAAUACCCUUACAUUUAAUUUGAUAUGCAUUUAAAUUAGAUUAUGUUGACCAAGGUGACCACCUCUGGUUCGGAAAAAAAAAUUUGUAAUCCGGAAAGGUUCCGGAAAAUCGAUGUGCGUCUAUUAUAAUUGUUAAUACUUUAUAAGUCCUUUUUAGUUCAACUCUGCCCUAAUCCACAAUAUCUGCUGCUAGAUCAAAGUGAUCAUAUCAUCGAUCGUCAUAAGAAGUUUCAUAGCAGCUGAGGUAUGCCAUCGGGUUUAAGUUCAUCACUGACGUGAUAUGCCCUUGGAUUGGGAGGACUCCAUUCUCUCUCACUCUCUCAGUUAAGGACUUGUUUGCUUUGAAAGGAAAUUGAAUAACGAGAUUUUUUUUUAAUGGUAUCUAACCUACUCUCCUGUUUUACGUUCCACAACAUUUAAGUAAGAGAUAGUGUAAUAAAGGAAAUCAGACAUCAAACGUCUUUUUAUAUUGAGAAGGUGUGGCUGUGUGGUAAAAAGUUUAUUUCCCAACCACACGGUUCCGGAUUCAUUGUCAUUGCGUGGUACCUUGGGCAAGUGUCUUCUACUAUAUUCUCGGGCCGACCAAAGCCUUGUCAGUGGAUUUGGUAGAUGAAAACUGAAAGAAACCUGUGUUUGAAAAGGUUUAACGAAAGCGCUCACACACUAGAAAAAAAAACUUUUCCGAAAAAGGUUAGUAACAUCCUCAUAACAUAUUUUCUGUUUUACAUGUUUCAGUCAUUUGACUGCGGCCAUACUGGAGCACCGCCUUUAGUCGAGCAAAUCGACCCCGGGACUUAUUCUUUUGUAAGCCCAGUACUUAUUCUAUCGGUCUCUUUUGCCGAACCGCUAUGUGACGGUGACGUAAACACACCAGCAUCGGUUGUCAAGCAAUGCUAGGGGGACAAGCACACACAUACAUACAUACAUACAUAUACAUAUAUACGGCAGGCUUCUUUCAGUUUCCGUCUACCAAAUCCACUCACAAGGCAUUGGUCGGCCGGUGCUAUAGCAGAAGACACUUGCCCAAGAUGCCACGCAGUGGGACUGAACCCGGAACCAUGUGAAUAAAUUUUACUUCUUUUCAGACAAAUGACGAUGGAGUGGCAAGUAAAAGAAAGAAAAAAGAAUUUAUUUGACAGCCUAAUAUUUAAUGUCCCUAUUUCGUAACAUUUUUUAAAAAAAUCAUCUUCACACUUCAAAAACUGUGUUAAGUAAUCCUCAUAGACUUUCAUAUAUAUAUAUAUAUAUCUGUGUGUCUUUGAGUCUCUGUCUCCCAUCGCCACUUGACAACCGGUGUUGGUGGGUGUGUAUACGUCCCCGUAUCUUAGAAGUUCAGCAAAAGAGAUCGAUAGAAUAAGUACCAAGCUUUAAAGAAAAAGGAACUGGGAUCGAUUCGUUGGACUAAAAAUCCUUCAAAGCAGUACCCCGGCAUGUCCGUAGUCUAAUGACCGAAACAAGUAAAAGAUAAAAGAUAAAUCGAUAUUCACCUAUAUAACUGUAACUGUGUGAAGGCACGUAGCCUAGUGGUUAGGCUGUUGCACUCACGAUCGCUAGAUCGUGGGUUCGAUUCCCAGACUGUGCGGCGCGUUGUGUUCUUGAGCAAAACACUUCGUUUCACAUCGCUCCAGUCCCCCUUCGAUGAGGGGGGAUUGUUGACCUGCUCGUAUAGCCAGUGGUGUGGCGUCAUAUGAAGGCUAAAACAAUGCAAAAGCACAUUGUGACCAGCAAUGUGUAACACCUAAUAGCCUGGUCGGUCACGUGAACUCUAACUUUAAUGCGCAUACAUUAUAUUUCUCAGCCUUGAUACUCCUAUUAAGGCAUCGGAAUCGGUUCGUUGUGUUAUAUAUUAUGGAAGGGUUUGCAUUCGAGGUACUUCGUUGAUGAAAGACGUUACGCACGCACACAAAGUCGAAUAGUGUCUGCGGGACUCGGACCCACAUCUGUAAACAUGUCUUAACCUAAUAUUUACGCGCUGUUACUUAGAGCAUUAUCUACUUCGAGUUCCACCCUUUAAAACAAAUUACUUCACAUUCUCCCGAAGUUUCUCAAUUCUUAUGACGUAAACUAUGUCUCUCUCGAUACACACACACACACACACACAUCAAAUGGUUUAUGAGCAUUUGAGUAGGGCAAAACAUUCGUUCAUGUAGAGAUUCUUCCUAUUUCCUUGUGUGCCUUCAGCGACGACACCAAGAGUUUCAACCGAGAAUUGCUAACUGUAAGCUAGUCCAAACGUUUGACUUGAACAGUCAACUGUUGUAUCGCCGGUGACGCGGCAUAUAUUGCAUGACGUAGUUUUAGGCGUACUGUCGUCUUCGGAAAAAGAUGACAUCGUUACGGCUGAAAAAAUAUUGAUCUUGGGCCUAGGCAAUCGGAAUUGACCUAAAGCUAAACAACAACAGCACUUAAACCAUUGAUCAUUCGACUUCUAGACGAACACCUUUGUCGAUCUUCAAGCCAAAUCUUAUAAAUUUAAAUAACUUCUUGCGGCUCCUUGGAUUGGUAAUCCAUGUAUUAACGAUUUAAGUUGAAAUAAAUCAGUUUCAGUAUGGUGGGACCCAUACGGUAUUUUUCUGUACUCUAUGGUUAACACUUCAGAAAUAAGGAUUUCUUAUUUUGUGGUUCAGAAUAAUAAGGAUUUUUUCUUGUUUUGUGAUUCAGAAUAAUAAACACCGAGAUUUUGUACCAUUCAUGCAUGCCUUUGUGGCUAGGGUUUCAUGAAAAGUAACCUCAGAUUUGACGAGGAUGCAACGUUGUCUUAUUCUCUGAAUAUCAUCUCACCACACAUAAUUUUUAUUAAGUAUAAUAGCUUCUAGACAUUCGUUUAGUUAUUGAACCUAUCCAUCGGUGGUGGGUGAUUAUCUAGAUUAAGAUUCGAUCUCUAAAAUUCUGUUUCACAGUUAUUACGUGUACUACUGUAAUGAACAUGCAACUUUCAUGAAACAAGUAGUUUUUUUUUUAUAUAUUUAUUUAUUGUGCAGCGGUCAAAUGACUUGACAGUAUCAUCUGCGAGCAGCAAUUCUCGUGGUUAGUUCAUGAAAUUUUCAUUAUAUUUGCAAUAUUACAAUAUUCAUUAUAUUUACAAUAUAAAUGAAGAUGGUAAGGAUAGAUUUGUCAAGUAAGCCGCCUUCAGUGGAUUUAUCAAUAGUUAAGUCAAACUUCGUGGAAACAAAAGGUAAAAAUCGAAUUAAACUCGCAACGUAAGAAUAUUAAUUAGAUUAAAUGCUGGAAACAAUAAUUAUAACUGAUAUAAGAAGAACAAUGUAGGUAGGAAGUUAGACAAAAUAUGUAAGGUGGCGUUAGUGAAUGAAAACAGGGAGUAGAUAUUUUAUUACCUUACUUCCCUCUUUAUUUUCUUUUAUUGGCAUCAACAUACAUACUGGGUGUUCAUACUUCAUCUUUACAACCGUCACAAUUUGUUGCAUGUAUUAAUGUUAAAAUCGUCUAGAUGUGUUGCGUGCAACCAGUGGAGCCCACGUAGAAGUAUUCUGAUGUUUCUUAUAAAACUUUAUGUUUUCCAGUAAACUCUGUUGAGUUAUCUUUAUUUCUCAUCUUGUUCUGAAUUUUUCAAAUUGUUAACGUAAUUUACGAAUACUUUAUAUUUUGCAUAACUUCUCAUCUAGAUUGCUCACCACAUCGUUCCGUAUUCAGUCACACUGCGUGGCACCUUGGGCAAGUGUCUUCUAUUAUAUCCUCGGUCCGACCAAAGCCUUGCGAGUGGAUUUGGUAGACGGAAAGUGAAAGAAGAGAAUCGUUUAUAGAUUUAUCUAUGUGUGCGUGUCUUUGUGUCUGUGUUUGUCCCCUACCAUUGCUUGACAAUCGGUGUUGGUAUGUUUACGUCCCCGUGACAUAGCGGUUUGGCAAAUUGAAACCGAUAGAAUAAGCACCCGGUUUAAAAAGGAAAUAAGUAAUAAGAGUCGAUUAGUUCAACUAAAAUUCCUCAGGGCGAUGCUUCAGUAUGGCCGCAAUCUAAUAAUUAAAACAAAUAAAAGUAUAAAUAUCAUUUACACCAUUUUACAGAACUCCAAGCAAAUUACAAUACUAUUUUAAUAGCGAGCUGGCAGAAUCGUUAGCAUGCCCGGCCAAAUGCUUAGCGUCUUUAUGUUCAAAGUUCAAAUUCCGCCGAGGUCGAUUUUGUCUUUCAUCAUUUCGGAGUCGAUAAAAUAAAUACUAGUUGAGCACUGGAGGUCGAUCUAAUCGACUUAACCUAUCUCCUGAAAUUGCUGGCCUUGUGCCAAAAUUUGGAAGCAAUAAUGAAAAGUAUUUUACAUUGAUAUAAGGGCUGGAUGAAGUCGUAUAUUUAAACCUGAAUUUGAAAGCGGUGUAUGCUUCAUUAAUCCAAGAGGGACGGUAGAAUGCCGACCCCGGUAGUAUUUUCACUUUGUGCAUAACAAAAUGCAAUCAAAUAUAGAACCUCACUGCUCACUCGUGUCUAUACCCCCACCUCCUGUCUCUACCUAAUGAAAUUUGCUUUCCUUCAGUCUUAUCUCACUAAAUAACUGGUGCUGAUACUUGUUUGUUAGCGAUUCAACAGAAAUUCGAGCGUCACAAAUCGGCUACAUUGAAACACAAGUAGAAUGCUAUUAGUCAUUUGUGUGCUUCAUCUUAUUCCAACUGUCAAUCGUAGAUACACAAUUUUUAUUUUUACAUAUCGACAGCGACAGAGAUCUAAAAUAACUUCUUUUGACAAUUUUUUUUUGUGGAGAUGUGGGCGUUUUUCUCUGAUCAAACAGGAUGUAAGUAAUUGAUUGGCUCGAUGCAAUCGACUAAUCCAAUGCUUCAGAUAUAACCUUCUACUUCCAGUUAAUUUCGGGCCAUAUUCUCUGUGCACCCUAAUAAGCAGUAGAGUAUUGUAUAGAGAGCAGUGUAUCAGUCUAUACGACGUAUUUCUUCCCUACCUUUUCAGUCUAUAUGCCUACUGGUUAUAGGUGGUGUCGAGGACACAUACUGGAUAUGAACUCUGUAGGGACUUCAUAAUUAUUGUCCUAUUCUUGCAAAGGUUUUGCAAACUCCACCCUCCGAACUCCCAGAUCAUAACUGAUGCACUAAGAUCUACGGCUCAGAGACGCUCCAGAUGUGACCAUACAUCCUUUUAUUUUUCUGGAUAGUGUAUCUAGGACUACAUUAUCAGUGGAUGGUAAGGUGUGAGUUGAGGGAGAUUUGGUUUCUAUUUCGAACAACCACGCAGAACCUUUCUCAUAGGAUCGCGUUUAUACAGUUAUUGUUUAGCCCCUAAGUGGUCAGUCUUAAUCAAGCUGGUCUGUAAUCAAAGGCAUUCCAUCCGUGAUCUCUCUGUCUCGUAUUUAUUGGGUUGGAUGUGUAGAUGGAUUUGAUGAACAUUUGUAUAUUAUCAGUUGUCAACUUAACUGCUACUCGGAGGAGAAGGGGGGAAACACUGUACCAAUCAUUACAGGGUACCGAUAUAGAAAACGUGGACUGGUGGCUGAAAUAUAUCGUUGUAGUAACUUAAAGUAAACCUCAUGAAAUUUAACGACACGUUAGAUGCUCAGCAUAAUAAUAACUCUAAGUAUACAUAAAUCUUGCUGUUACGUUACAAAACUAGUGUUCGCAAUGAGAAAGAAUUCAAUUGCGUAAUUAAAACCUGAUCUCACAUUAGCACAUGACCAGAUAUUGAAAGAAAACCGGAUUUGGUGAGUGUUAUGACAUCCAUGCCCUUUCUUAACCCUUUGCCUGUCCAAAACAUUUCCAUAAGUUUGUCCUAAAUACCCAUGCAUGAUUUCAGACUUUUAGUUUGUUUCAAGCCUUUGUUUCAUAUGUUCUACGUAAAAUAAAGCUUUACUUUCCUAAGUCCCGAGUUAUUCUGGUGAUUAAAAAACAAAAAAAAAAGGGGGAACGUGUAUCGUGAGGGCCAGAGAAAUAUUUAUUGUGUAUUAUUACAUCUGAUACACAAGACAGGCAAAGGAUUAAAAAAUUACUCAUGAAGAAUGAAGGCAAAAAUUAACAAAUAUAGUGGUGUCGUCGGCUGAUUAUGCACUUCCUUUACACAAUUUCUAUCUUCGUUUUUUAUUAAUGUUAGAAACUGUGAAUAGCUUCUUUAGUUAGUUCAGUUGUUACACUGAAUUAAAGUGUACAAUAAGGAGCGUUUACAGAAACUGGGAGUGUGUUGUUAGGCGCUACUAUUUACUUAAAUCUCGCCGAAGAUGACUUUGCUUUACAUACAUCGUAAGGCAAUAAAAAGCAUGUGCAGGAUUAAGUUCUCUAGACCAAAUUCCUGUCCCACCCAACCCCUCCUCCAAAGAACUAUGGUAUUUGAGCUCAUCUGACAACAAAUCAUAAAAAUGCCCUAUAUUAUUAACAUUUCCUGUGAUGAUUCAGUCUUUGUUGUUGCUGGAAUUUCGUAACGUUUUUUUUUUUGCUUUCCUAAAUGCUUCCUGUCAGGUGUUGUUUCACGUCGUAUACAGCUAGCUGGCUGACGACGGUUCUGUCUCACGCGUUAAGUUUACUGCACGAUAAUCUAGAGAUCCAACAGUGUAUAUCUGCUCCUUCUGGUCAAUUUUCUGUUAAACACAAUUUAUCUCAAAAUUGUACUUAAUUUAUUUCAAAAACGGUUUGUAUUAAGUGCAUAUAAUGAGUGUGUGUGUGUGUGUUACAUUUUUGUAAGAAGAGAAGUGAUAAGAACUUCGAAGUUUCGGUCUGCAAACUUUCACUGGACUAGCAAGCCUUUCGAAUUAAUUAUCACCAGUCUUCUUGUAAAAGUAUAAUAAUGUACUUUACGAAAAGUAUUGAGUAAUCCUUCAAUUUAAUAUAAAAUUGUUAUAAUUCCUUAGACUUCUUUCCUUCUCUAGACCUUUCCUCUUUCUCCUUUCUGACGAAGAGCCAUGCUCGAAACGUUAUACACACAUUUUUUUUCCAUCUUAUAUCGAGCGUCAACCUAAUACAUUUCAUGUGUGCGUUUUUUUUUUUUUACUUUUGUUGUUUUGUUAUUCGUAAGUUUCUAUUUCUAUUUCUAUCUAUCUAUCUAUCUAUCUAUCUAUCUAUCUAUCUAUCUAUCUAUCUAUAUCUAUAUAUAUACAUAUAUAUAUAUAUAUAUAUAUAUAUAUAUAUAUAUAUAUAUAUAAUGUAUAGAUGUCAUUCAAAUGGUUCUCAGAAAGUUAUACGAUGUCACACCGGUACACAACUCUGGGCUGUACGGUUCCUCAUAGCUGAAACAGCUGUAAGCUAAUUAAAAGUAAUUACGUAACUCUUGCUCUUUUAUCAUUUAUUUAUUAAUACGUAACAUUACACUCUGUACAAUGAAGUACCAGUAUAUUGAAUUCUGCCAAAUGAUUGUUUGUACUGCUAUGACUCAGUAGAAUCGUUAAGAUUUGUGCAUGUUAUCUAAUGUGCAAAGUAUUAUAAUGGCGACAACUGUCGUGAUUUAUACAUUAUGUCGUAUAAUCUUGUGUGGGCCUUGUUACUUUGGCAGAUGGACUACAUAUAGUUGUGAUGACACAUCUAUCUUAAUGCUGGCAAUGUCGGCAGCAGUAGCAAUAGUAGUAGUAGUAGUAAUUACAUGUCUUUUUGAGCACGCGCGUGCGUGUCUGUUUAUAUAUCUAUUGCUAUUUGAAGAGAUGCAGUAGUUUAUAUUGUCACAAUGUUUAUUGCAAGUUAUUCUUCAUAAUCUGUUAGUAAGAAAAAAGCGCACAGGGUAUCACCGAGUACAGUUUUUACAUGAAAUUACUACAAAAACAAGACCAAAAAACACCAAAAAAACUCAUUAAGCGUAAGCAUGGGUGCGUGGUUAAGAAACUCGCUUUGCGAUCACGUGGUUUCAGGUUCAUUCCCACUCUUCAACACCUUAGGUAGUUGUCUUCUACUGCAGUGUUUGUGUCCUUGUAGCUUUGUUUUUACUUUUUUCUGUGACUUAUUGGACUGUGGAUCCCAAUUAGCAACAUAGCCAUCAAAAAUUUUUUUUUUUAAAGCCCAAAACAUUCUUUUUUAACCCUUCAGCAUUUAAACCAAUCACAUCCGGCCCAAAAUAUUCUACACCUUUUGUGUUCAAACUGGAGAAAUACAUGAUUAAUUCAAAACAAUGUCAAUAAAUAAACUUGCAUUUGACAGAGUAAUCUCAAUGCUGAAGAGCUAAUGCUAAAAAAUUAUGCUACAAGACAUAAUUUGUGGCUCUUGUUUUUAUUUUGUUUUGUAACUCUGAGUUUAACAAAUUUUGUGGGGUCUUUCAGGUUGUGGUUUCAAUAGAAAUAGAAGCCUAACCCAUGAAGAAAUUGAAUUGAUUGCCGCGGCUUGUUAGUUUGAUUGAAAGUCGAUUUAAAAACGCCUCAUUUUAUUCCUGCUUCAUGACGCGCUGCUUGGCCAAGUGUGGAUAUUUCACCUUUGGGAUGACAUCUCAAAGAGGAUUCUUUACAAAUAUCAAAUGCACCUAUUUGCUGCAAUGUUAUCCACCCUCUCUCUUUCUCUUUCUCACCUUCUUUCUUUCUCUCUCUCUCUCUCUCUCUCUCUCUAUCUAUCUAUCUAUCUAUCUAUCUAUAUAUAUAUAUAUAUAUAUAUAUAUAUAUAUAUAUAUAUAUAUAUAUAUUGUUGAAAUUUACAGAAAAACGAAGACAGCUGUUUAAACAACAAGCAGGUGUAUUAGUUUGACGCUCGGGAAGGUGAGAAAGUCCUUUUACGUGUGGAUCCUACGCUCUUCAACUGAAAGGAAACGAGAAAAUUAAAGUUCAAAAAAGUUCAAACGUCGUGGUGUAUUGGAGCGAUUUUUCAUCAACUGAAGAGUCCAGUGAAAUCCAUAAGUAUAUCCAGUAGUAAUCCGGGUAGAAUGCUGGUAAAGCAGGAUAAAACUGGUGCGACCACAUGAGCGUAUAAUAUAUAUAGUUGAAAUUUUCAAAAAAACAAAACAUGAAGACAUGUAUAUAAGCAACAAGUAGAUGUAUUAGUUUGACGUUCGGGAAACAGACACACACACUAUACAAAUGCACACGCUGAAAUUUUACACACCUUCCGUUCACCAUAUUCAUUCACAAGGCUUUAGUCAGUCUGGAGUUAUAGUAGAAGACGCCUGUCCAUGGUGCUGUGUAGUGGGAUUGAGCCCUAAACUACCUGUUUGCAAAAUGAGCGUGUCUGUUUAAAAAAAAAAUUCCAUAAGUUAUCGUUGAGUUAAUCAUUUUCACGUGGUGUUUACACAACCUUCCCACCUAUUAAUGAGACUUUGAAAACUAAACUGUAUUUCAUGAGCGGACAAGUCCACCAUUCCUGGGAUGGGAGUGCGGAGAUCGAAAGAGGAACAGGUAGACAAAUUAGCAUGUUUAUUAAAUUUGUCCAACACCAUGAUUAUAGAAAGAAUAAAUGGAUGUAAAAACUGCUUUGUCAUCACAUGAAUAAACAGUGUGGUUGGAGCGGUUACGUUUUGGGUGAGGACACGCAAUCGUUUGGUCUGAGAAGCGCUGGACAAAAAAAGUACUUGUAAAAAGUAUGUUUUGAUUUUCUUUGUAGGAACCUUAGAGUUUACCGUGUUAUAUGUUUCUGUCUUCAAACUUGAAAAGACGGCAAGUAAAUAAAAAUAAAGUUAUCAUGUAGUAUAUUUAAGUAAAUCAAUCGAUUUUAAGGAAUGAAUAUUGAAGCUAAUCUUUAGUCAAAAUAUAUAAAUUUUUCUUUUUGCUUACGGGUAAUAAUUCUCAGUCGAAAAGAAAUUCACGACGUCUGUCCUGCCUGCCAUCUCUCUCUCUCUCUCUCUCUCUCUCUCUCUCUCUCUGUGUUCUCCCCUUUCUUCCUCUCUCAUCUCUUUCUCCUUCUCUCCUCUCUCUCUCUCCCCUGAAGAUUGUCUUUUGGCUCAUUCAUUAUCCAAACUAGCACAAGUCCAUACCAUCAACGAUUGGUAUACAGUAAUCCCUCAACUAUCAUGGGUGUUAUGUUCCAAAAAACCCCUGCGAUAGGUGAAAAUCCACCAAGUAGAAACAGUACUGUACUGAAUAUUUUUUUUUUUUUUGUUAUUUCUAUAAUUUGUAUAUAUUUAUUUUAUUAUAAAUACAAAAGCAACACCACGGAGGAAUCGACGUAAGCUUAAAUAACAAACCACGAUAUGGCGAGGAAUAUCUGUAUCUGUUUCUGAGUUUUCUAUUGGUCUCUCCCUUUCACUAAACACAUCACCACAUUUUUUUUCCAUAUAAAACACACACACACACAUACACUCGCGCGUGCACACACACACGUGCGCACACACAUACACAUGUAUUUGUGUGUGUGUGUAUAUAUAUAUAUAGAGAGAGAGAUAAAGAGUAAAAGAGCUACAAAUAGGUUCAUGCGAUGAAAACAACUCUGACAGCAUUUCGUAACACGUCCUCAGGAUUGUGUGAAGGCAUCAGACAUGUUAGAAAAUGCUGACUUGUUUUCAUCGCAUGAAACUAUUAGCCUCUCCUAAAAAUAUUUACUCCAUCACGGAACCGUACACUAUAUAUUAUUUUAUAUAUUCCUAAUAUUCAAGAAUUCUGAGUUGUAUUUUGUCAGCCUUUCCUUAUUUUAUAUCUCUGCAAUUACUACUACUACUACUACUAUUAUUAUUAUUAUUAUUAUUAUUAUUAUUAUUAUUAUUAUUAUUACUAUUAUUAUUAUUAUUAUUAUUAUCAUUAUUAUUAUUAUUAUAAUUAUCAUUAUUAUUACUAUUAUUAUCAUUAUUAUUAUCAUUAUUAUUAUUAUUACUUUUAUUAUUAUCAUUAUUAUUAUCAUUAUUAUUAUUAUUAUUAUUUAUCAUCAUCAUUAUCAUCAUCAAAAACAACAGACGUUAAGGUAGAUGUUAAGUACAGGUAUUUUCUUCGUUGUAUUAGGUUGUCAGAUAAAUUCGUUCGUUUUCUUUCUAUUUUUUUUUUUUUUCUUUCAUUUUUUUCUGCUUUUCCUACUUGACAAUCCAUCGUCAUAUGCCUGAAAAGGUAAAACUCGUACAAAUUUCAAACACGAUAAACAAAAGUUGCAGGGAAAGAAUAGAGCUACAAAAACGAAAAAGUAAAAGAACACUGGAAAGGAUUAAAAUAAAUAUGACCAUAAAAAAAAUAAUAAUAACGAACGAACGAAUUUAUCUGACAACCCAAUGCAUUUUAUAACUUAUUAAUAACUUUACUUGAUCAGAGUGUUUUAAACUUUUUUUUACAUUCAAUGACCUUUUUAUUUUCCUCUGUAUUUUUUUUUAUUUUUCAGGUAAGUACUUUUGAAGUUUGAAGAUGUUGGUAAGAUGACAUUUUCUUUUAAUUGCAAAAAAAAAAAAAAAAAAAGAAAAAAAAUUAAGAUGCUAAAACAAAACAAAAAAAACAAAUAAGUAAGCAUUUAAUACAGGCGACUGUUUCAAAGUGUUCAAAAAGACAAAUAAGACCGAAAAAUGAAUGAAGAACAAAAAUAUUUCUUACAGAAACUGUAUAGUGUUGUUAGUCUAUGGUUUGCUAUUAGCAAACAUACUUCGAAAAUGCGUUAUGCUUUUUUAAAAAUCUCCAUUUUUUAAUAAUAUCCAAAGGUGUGUAUGUGUGUAUACAUUUAGCUUGAUGUAGUUAUUACGGCUAGCUCCAUGCUGGAGCAGUGCGUGUGUGUGUGUGUGUGUGCAUGUGUGUGUGUGUGCGUGCGUGUGUGUAAGUUCCUUUCUUUUUACUGUUUAACACGUAUCAUUUGCAAACAAUAGUUCCUUUUGCAACUAAACUGAAGCAACGAUGAAAUUACCAAAUAUUUCGCAAUUUUUCACUCACUCUCUCUCCUCCCCCGCUCUCUUUCUCUCUCCUCGUCUUUCGUUCAUUCUCUUAAUUUUUUUAAAAACCAUGUCAGUGACUAGUGUUAUUUCGGCAUUUGUGUCAAAGACUAGGAUUUUUUUAUUUUACAUGUGUCAUAUACCGAAAUAUGAGUGCUUCUCCUUGGAGUGGGGGGGAGCAUUAAAUAGAAAUUAAUACCGGG